GACCGCCAGGAUGUUGGCUUAGAAGCAGCCAUCAUUUAAAGAAAGCGUAAUAGCUCACUGGUCGAGUCGGCCUGCGCGGAAGAUGUAACGGGGCUAAACUGUGCACCGAAGCUGCGGCAGCGACACUAUGUGUUGUUGGGUAGGGGAGCGUUCUGUAAGCCUGCGAAGGUGGCCUGUGAGGGUUGCUGGAGGUAUCAGAAGUGCGAAUGCUGACAUAAGUAACGAUAAAGCGGGUGAAAAGCCCGCUCGCCGGAAGACCAAGGGUUCCUGUCCAACGUUAAUCGGGGCAGGGUGAGUCGACCCCUAAGGCGAGGCCGAAAGGCGUAGUCGAUGGGAAACAGGUUAAUAUUCCUGUACUUGGUGUUACUGCGAAGGGGGGACGGAGAAGGCUAUGUUAGCCGGGCGACGGUGGUCACGGUUUAAGCGGGUAGGCUGGUUUGCCAGGCAAAGCCGGAAAAUCAAGGCUGAGGCGUGAGGACGAGG
rnacentral:rRNA from 1 species